rnacentral:lncRNA from 1 species
CAAUGAAAGGGGCAUAAUAUUUUUUCAAAAUAACAUGUUUUGGAAAUGACCCCUCCCUGCUUCCUUUAUGUAUGAAUUAUAUUAUUUCUGUAUAAUGUUUUGGAUAUAUUUUUCUGUUGAAUUUACAGUGAUAUUGAUCUCAAUCAAGUUUAACCUGAUGAAUCUGUGAAUAGUUCCUUUGAACUUUCAGCAUGGAGAACUCACCCUUAUCUAAAGGUCUUGGCAUCCUUUCUGUCCUCAUCUGGCUGAUUUUUCCCUUUGCACCUCAUCUCUGGACGGGAGGUAGUGACUUUCUUUAAGAUAACGCAGGAGGGAGCUGGGGACAACAUAUUCCAAUACCCAUUAUCCUUCCCUGUUCAUCUCCAGUGAUCUGUCACAAAUCACAUUUUCCAUCCUUGAAGGCAUAUGGUAAGUAUUAGUGGUAAUAGCUGCGGCAUGGUAAUUCUGGCCCUACACACCCUUGUU